ACUCCUACGGGAGGCAGCAGUAGGGAAUAUUGGUAAUCUGGGAAACCGGGAACCAGCAACGCCGCGUGUGCGAUGAAGGCCUUCGGGUUGUAAAGCACUUUUUAAGAGGAUGAGGAAGGACAGUACUCUUAGAAUAAGCCUCGGCUAACUACGUGCCAGCAGCCGCGGUAAU
rnacentral:rRNA from 1 species